rnacentral:rRNA from 1 species
GCUGGCGGCAGGCCUUACACAUGCAAGUCGAGCGGCCGUAGCAAUACGGCAGCGGCAGACGGGAGAGUAACACGUGGGAACGUGCCCUUCAGUUCGGAACAACCCAGGGAAACUUGGGCUUAAUACCGGAUACGCCCUUACGGGGAAAGAUUUAUCGCUGAAGGAUCGGCCCGCGUCUGAUUAGCUAGUUGGUGGGGUAACGGCCCACCAAGGCGCGAUCUGUAGCUGGUCUGAGAGGUUGAUCAGCCUCACUGGGACUGAGACACGGCCCAGACUCCUACGGGAGGCAGCAGUGGGGAAUAUUGGACAAUGGGCGCAAGCCUGAUCCAGCCAUGCCGCGUGGAUGAUGAAGGCCCUAGGGUUGUAAAGUCCUUUCGGCGGGGAAGAUAAUGACG